AUGGCGGCACUCUUGUUGAGACAUGCUGACCAUCAUUGCCUCCAUUCCCACCUGAGUCCUCGGCUCUAUAUCAGAAAUGCUGUUCCUUUGGGAACCGCAGCCAAAGAAGAGAUGGAGCGGUUCUGGAAUAAGAACACAGGUUCAAAUCAUCCUGAAUCUCCUACAUCACUAUCUACAGUUGGUCUCUUCCCAUGGUGAUGUCCAUUUGCCAUUGCGGCGCUGGUAUGGGCUUGAGUGGAGGGGUCUCUCUGUUUGGUGUGUCAGCUCUUUGCUCCCUGGGAACUUUGAGUCUUACUUAGAAUUUGUGAAGUCUUUGUGUCUGGGGCCAGCAGUGAUUUACACAGCUAAGUUUGCGCUCGUCUUGCCACUCACGUAUCACACCUGGAAUGGGAUCCGUCACUUGAUAUGGAACCUGGGAAAAGGCCUGAAGACUGCCCAUCUCUACCAGUCUGGGGUGGCCAUCUUGGUUCUGACUGUGUUGUCCUCUGUAGGUCUGGCAGCCAUGUGAAGAGCUGACGCUCCCAGAAUCAUCUUCCUACAAAUUAGUUGUCACAAACUGCUUUACCUUCCUGGUCCUCAUUCUUACCCUGGCCAACAGAGUUACCUGAUCUCUUUGGAUCCUUCUGUGUUUGCAGAUGAUCCCCCUUAGCUCAGUAGACUGGCUUGUAAAACCACAAUAAUAGAAAGGGUCC